GAUGAACGCUAGCGGCAGGCUUAACACAUGCAAGUCGAGGGGCAGCAUGAUGAAACUUUCGGGUUUCAUUGAUGGCGACCGGCGCAAGGGUGCGUAACGCGCGAGCAACUUGCCCUUAUCAGGGGAAUAACCGGUGGAAACGCCGACUAAUACCCCAUAGCAUCUCUUUAAGGCAUCUUUUAGAGAUUAAAGAAUUUCGGAAACGGAUAGGCUCGCGUGACAUUAGCUAGAUGGUGAGGUAACGGCUCACCAUGGCGACGAUGUCUAGGGGUUCUGAGAGGAAGGUCCCCCACACUGGAACUGAGACACGGUCCAG
rnacentral:rRNA from 1 species